GAGGGUAUAGCUCAGUGGUAGAGCACAUGCUUAGCAUGCACAAGGUCCUGGAUUCAAUUCCCAGUACCUCCA
rnacentral:tRNA from 1 species